rnacentral:rRNA from 1 species
GACGAACGCUGGCGGCGUGCUUAACACAUGCAAGUCGAACGGGAAGGCCCUGCUUUUGUGGGGUGCUCGAGUGGCGAACGGGUGAGUAACACGUGAGUAACCUGCCCUUGACUUUGGGAUAACUUCAGGAAACUGGGGCUAAUACCGGAUAGGAGCUCCUGCUGCAUGGUGGGGGUUGGAAAGUUUCGGCGGUUGGGGAUGGACUCGCGGCUUAUCAGCUUGUUGGUGGGGUAGUGGCUUACCAAGGCUUUGACGGGUAGCCGGCCUGAGAGGGUGACCGGCCACAUUGGGACUGAGAUACGGCCCAGACUCCUACGGGAGGCAGCAGUGGGGAAUAUUGCACAAUGGGCGGAAGCCUGAUGCAGCAACGCCGCGUGUGGGAUGACGGCCUUCGGGUUGUAAACCGCUUUCGCCUGUGACGAAGCGUGAGUGACGGUAAUGGGUAAAGAAGCACCGGCUAACUACGUG